rnacentral:misc_RNA from 1 species
GUUUUUUUUUCAAAAAAAAAAAAAACUGCCCACCAAAUUAAUUAGAAAGAACAUAUUACAGUAGAAUUAGUAAAGUAACCAGUAAUACUGUUACACAUACCCUUUAGCUUUCCCAGUUCUUAUCCCUCAUUCAAACCCCAUAAAACAAAAAGAAAAUUAUCAAACACUUCCUCAGAGACAAGGGGAAAUUUUCCCCAAAUCCAUUCCCAUCUGCCCUAAACAACUAACCCACCUAAUGGAAACAAGAAACCCUUCAAUUAUUACCUUCGGAAUUCCUUCUAAACAGAGCAAAGUAGCCCAGAACAGCACAAACAGCAGCCACAACAUUCCCUUCCUUUAACAAAAUCUUGAAUACAAACCCAACAAUAUCUCUAGUGAUCUUCCUUCCCUCAAUCACCAACGCCCUCCUUGGCUUUCCAAAGAAAGUCAAUAAGACCAGAACUGUGAUCCAUAUAACCAAGGUGGCUGGCACAGCCACUGCAAGAGCUGCAACCAUUGAAAGGAGACCAAAAACAGCCCCUAGAAGAACUGAUGCAUACAAGGCAGGCCACCCAGAAGAAGCUGCAGAAGUGACUUGUGCUUGUUCUUUGUACCAAGAAAGUACAGAUUUUAGGAAAUUCCAUGAGGAUGAUAAGAGGAUUGCAUAUACUAACACAAAAAGACAAACCCAUGUUGUCCUUUUGCUCAUAAUUGUAAGGAAUAAAUGGUAUGUUGAUGAUGGCUGCUGCUUUGCAGUUGGUGGUGCAGUAUCAUCUUCUUGGUUUUCCAU